UAGCUCUGGUUUCCCUUCAAAUGGAUAAUAUUUUUGCCUUUUACUAAAUACUUCCGUGGAGUGGAACAACUCGAUGAGUCUUACUCAAUUCUCUCUAUAGCCCACUUCCCUGGGUUC
rnacentral:snRNA from 1 species